rnacentral:rRNA from 1 species
GGCGGACGGGUGAGUAAUGCGUAGGAAUUUACCUCAAAGCGGGGGAUAGCCCGGAGAAAUCCGGAUUAAUACCGCAUGUGCUCUACGGAGGAGAGCGGGCCUCUUCUUGAAAGCUCGCACUUUGAGAUAAGCCUACGUCGGAUUAGCUUGUUGGUAGGGUAAAAGCCUACCAAGGCGACGAUCCGUAGCUGGUUUGAGAGGAUGAUCAGCCACACUGGGACUGAGACACGGCCCAG